GAUGAACGCUGGCGGCGUGCCUAAUACAUGCAAGUCGAGCGAACAGAUGAGGAGCUUGCUCCUCUGACGUUAGCGGCGGACGGGUGAGUAACACGUGGAUAACCUACCUAUAAGACUGGGAUAACUUCGGGAAACCGGAGCUAAUACCGGAUAAUAUAUUGAACCGCAUGGUUCAAUAGUGAAAGGCGGUUUUGCUGUCACUUAUAGAUGGAUCCGCGCCGCAUUAGCUAGUUGGUAAGGUAACGGCUUACCAAGGCAACGAUGCGUAGCCGACCUGGGAGGGUGAUCGGCCACCCUGGAACUGAGACACGGUCCAGACUCCUACGGGAGGCAGCAGUAGGGAAUCUUCCGCAAUGGGCGAAAGCCUGACGGAGCAACGCCGCGUGAGUGAUGAAGGGCUUCGGAUCGUAAAACUCUGUUAUUAGGGAAGAACAAAUGUGUAAGUAACUAUGCCCGUCUUGACGGUACCUAAUCAGAAAGCCACGGCUAACUACGUG
rnacentral:rRNA from 1 species